UUCACUAUUUACAACCUGCACUGAUGAUUUUAAAAAUGGCUGGUGCAGGUAACAAUAAAUCCUCCAACGUCUUAAGCUGUCAUCAUGUGUUUUAGUUGGGAAGUAAGUGACUGGAAGUAAUAUGUUUCUCUCCGCAUGGCUUGUUACAAGCAUAAAUAUUUUGUACUCAUAAAUCAGUUACGUAGCAGUAAUCAUAAUUGAGAUUUAUAAAUGAAGGUAAUGCAAAACUGAAACAGAAUCAUUCAUCAUUUAUCAUCAU